rnacentral:rRNA from 1 species
GAUGAACGCUGGCGGCGUGCUUAACACAUGCAAGUCGAACGAAGCACUUUGGACAGAUUCUUCGGAUUGAAGCGCGUAUGACUGAGUGGCGGACGGGUGAGUAACGCGUGAGUAACCUGCCUUUCACAGGGGGACAACAGCUGGAAACGGCUGCUAAUACCGCAUAACCCGCUAGGGCCGCAUGGCCUGGACGGAAAAGGAGCAAUCCGGUGAAAGAUGGACCCGCGUCUGAUUAGCUAGUUGGUGAGGUAACGGCCCACCAAGGCGACGAUCAGUAGCCGAACUGAGAGGUUGACCGG